CUGAGCCGGAGGGGAGGGCAGGGGAGGGGAAGCAAAGGAGGAGGGGGCAGGAGAGCAGGGAGGGGGGAGCCGGGAAUGAGGAGGGAGCAGAGAGAGGGUAAAAAGAGGGCGUGGGGGGCAGAGGGCGAUCUGCCCGCGGGUUUGAGGCGAAACCUGCACCCUAGGCGUGGAGGGGGUCCAAUGACCAUACUGUUUUGAGAGGUAACUCCAUUUGGAUCCUCCCUUCCUUGAAAUGCACAGUUGUGAAUCUCAUCCUUAUGGCUACAAUGGGAUACAAACAGGGAAAGGUCUUUUUCUAAGUAUCUUGACCUUGACCUCCUUAAAAGGCACAAAGGUCCAACACGUAUCUUGGUUCAGGAUAACUGAUGGGUGAAGAAAAGAAAAUGAGGGAAACCCAUUAAAAACUGCAUGAAUUUUUCCAUACUGUAUAACUUGAUGAAUACCUUUUCUUCCCACAAAAUCCAAAGAAAAAAUUGUUGAAUAUUGUUAUGAUUUUCUAAGGGUGGAAUGUUAAAUUACAAUUAUAACUCCAACUUGCAAAAUGAAUUCACCAUUGUUAUAAACAAGGAACCAAACAUUAAAGCAUUAGAA